rnacentral:rRNA from 1 species
CACUCCUGCGGGAGGCAGCAGUGAGGAAUAUUGGACAAUGGGUGGAAGCCUGAUCCAGCCAUCCCGCGUGCAGGAAGACGGCCCUAUGGGUUGUAAACUGCUUUUAUCUGGGGAUAAACCUACUUACGUGUAAGUAGCUGAAGGUACCAGAAGAAUAAGCACCGGCUAACUCCGUGCCAGCAGCCGCGGUAAUACGGAGGGUGCAAGCGUUAUCCGGAUUUAUUGGGUUUAAAGGGUCCGUAGGCGGACUGAUAAGUCAGUGGUGAAAUCCGACAGCUUAACUGUCGAACUGCCAUUGAUACUGUUAGUCUUGAGUAAGGUUGAAGUGGCUGGAAUAAGUAGUGUAGCGGUGAAAUGCAUAGAUAUUACUUAGAACACCAAUUGCGAAGGCAGGUCACUAAGUCUUAACUGACGCUGAUGGACGAAAGCGUGGGGAGCGAACAGGAUUAGAAACCCGAGUAGUCCCAUGA